rnacentral:other from 1 species
CAUCCUCUGCGGUUCCCGUUAGUGGGCAAAGUCCCUUGACCCUAAUUAACACCCGCCGGGGGCGGGUUCCCGGCGCCAGUGUGCAUGUCCGUUGUGUACGGAAAGCCUAAGGUGCCGCAUCCUCCCCCACCUUGGACCUCAAGGUUCAAGGGCGACGUUCCACGACGGCUCAGGCGGAGGGUGC